rnacentral:tRNA from 1 species
GGGCUUAUAGCUCAGUUGGUUAGAGCGCAUCCCUGAUAAGGAUGAGGUCGCUAGUUCGAAUCUAGCUAAGCCCACCA